rnacentral:rRNA from 1 species
UACGUAGGGAGCAAGCGUUGUCCGGAUUCACUGGGUGUAAAGGGUGCGCAGGCGGGAGAAUAAGUCAGCGGUGAAAUCUUACGGCUCAACCGUGAAACUGCCGUUGAUACUGUUUUUCUUGAGUUCGGGAGAGGUUGAUGGAAUUCCAGGUGUAGCGGUGAAAUGCGUAGAUAUCUGGAAGAACACCAGUGGCGAAGGCGGUCAACUGGCCCGAAACUGACGCUGAGG